AUUGAACGCUGGCGGCAUGCCUUACACAUGCAAGUCGAACGGCAGCACGGAGCUUGCUCUGGUGGCGAGUGGCGAACGGGUGAGUAAUAUAUCGGAACGUACCCUAGAGUGGGGGAUAACGUAGCGAAAGUUACGCUAAUACCGCAUACGAUCUAAGGAUGAAAGUGGGGGAUCGCAAGACCUCAUGCUCGUGGAGCGGCCGAUAUCUGAUUAGCUAGUUGGUAGGGUAAAAGCCUACCAAGGCAUCGAUCAGUAGCUGGUCUGAGAGGACGACCAGCCACACUGGAACUGAGACACGGUCCAGACUCCUACGGGAGGCAGCAGUGGGGAAUUUUGGACAAUGGGCGAAAGCCUGAUCCAGCAAUGCCGCGUGAGUGAAGAAGGCCUUCGGGUUGUAAAGCUCUUUUGUCAGGGAAGAAACGGUGAAAGCUAAUAUCUUUUGCUAAUGACGGUACCUGAAGAAUAAGCACCGGCUAACUACGUGCCAGCAGCCGCGGUAAUACGUAGGGUGCAAGCGUUAAUCGGAAUUACUGGGCGUAAAGCGUGCGCAGGCGGUUUUGUAAGUCUGAUGUGAAAUCCCCGGGCUCAACCUGGGAAUUGCAUUGGAGACUGCAAGGCUAGAAUCUGGCAGAGGGGGGUAGAAUUCCACGUGUAGCAGUGAAAUGCGUAGAUAUGUGGAGGAACACCGAUGGCGAAGGCAGCCCCCUGGGUCAAGAUUGACGCUCAUGCACGAAAGCGUGGGGAGCAAACAGG
rnacentral:rRNA from 1 species